rnacentral:rRNA from 1 species
UGCCUAGGAAAUUGCCCUGAUGUGGGGGAUAACCAUUGGAAAUGAUGGCUAAUACCGCAUAAUGCCUACGGGCCAAAGAGGGGGACCUUCGGGCCUCUCGCGUCAGGAUAUGCCUAGGUGGGAUUAGCUAGUUGGUGAGGUAAGGGCUCACCAAGGCGACGAUCCCUAGCUGGUCUGAGAGGAUGAUCAGCCACACUGGAACUGAGACACGGUCCAGACUCCUACGGGAGGCAGCAGUGGGGAAUAUUGCACAAUGGGCGCAAGCCUGAUGCAGCCAUGCCGCGUGUGUGAAGGAGGCCUUCGGGUUGUAAAGCACUUUCAGUCGUGAGGAAGGCAGUGUAGUUAAUAGCUGCAUUACUUGACGUUAGUGACAGAAGAAGCACCGGCUAACUCCGUG